GAGACCGAGAGAGACUAAUCAAAGGUAAGCUGGUCCCACAACAUCACAACCGUCCAAGUAAUCCUAUCCACGCACUCUGAGACACUGCAUGUACAGAUAGUAAGUAGUCCUGCGUUGCACGUGAACAUUGCCCCCAAUCAGAACCCAACUUUCGUAAUUUCAUACAUCACCCCAACACCAACUCCAAUGCGUCUCUCUCUCUGAUGAAUAAAACCUCAGCAACCCUUCAAAGGCCAAAACCUCUCCCUCUGUCUUCUCUCUCUGAACCUCAUCGUCAUCAACUGUAAGUCUUUGAUUCACCAAUAGACAACAACCAUGAAGAAGCUCUACCGGAAAGGCACGGUUCAUCCUUCACCGCCAAUCAUAUCAGACCAACUGGCCUUCCUUCCCGCCACCAUCCUCACCCUCGCGGCGGCUCUGUCGCCCGAGGACAGAGAGGUCUUGGCUUACCUCAUCUCCUGCUCCAACAGCUCCAUCAACUUAUCAUCCUCCUCCUCGUCAUCAUCAUCGUACGGUUCUCGUAAGUCCACCGCAGCCUCUGCCGCCAAAAAGGGCGCCGCAAAAGGCAGUGGGAGCGGCGGUGACCACCCGGCGCGGUUUAACUGCGACUGCUUCAGGUGCUACAAGAGUUACUGGGUCAGAUGGGAUGAGUCGCCAAAUCGGCAACUGAUCCACGAGAUCAUCGAUGCUUUUGAAGAUGGGGUGUUGGCUGAGAGUAAAGGGCAGGCAAACUCAAAGUAUAAUAAUAAUAUCAGUAGGAAGGAAAGGAGGAACAAGAGGGGUCAUAAUGGUGGGUCAUCGGGUGAGCUGAAGCGGUCCGAGUUGAGUUUGAAGAAGAAGGAGCUGGCUCAGGCUCACAUGGCGGAUCAAGAGACUGGUGGUGGUGGUGGAGAGGUUGAUGAAGAAGACUCAGAGAAGGGUUCAGUGAGAAGGUUUGUGAGCUUUGUUGGAGAGAGGAUAUGGGGUGUGUGGAGCCAAUAAGUUUUCCCUAAUCUCAAAGACCACAUCAAGCAAUAAUUAAGUUAUAAUAUUACUUAAUUAUGAGCUCCUGCCUGAAAGGUUUUUGGAAUGAGAGCACGGCACGGGGUGGCUUCUUUCCUUAUUUUGACUCUUUCCUCUUUGCUUGCAAAAAUGUUGAACGACCCGUCGUUUGUCAAAGCAUAUCUUUGCCAAAUCUCCAAAUGCCUUGGCUUCCCAUAUUUUGGCAUCAACAUAAUGUUGGAAACUAUCACUUUACCGGUUUAUUAUUAUACACAAAUUUUGAUUCCUUCCAACACAUAAUCUCGUAACUACUUGCGAUGAGAAGAGGUAGGUGUCUCGCACAGUCGCAGAGGUAGGUGUCUCGCACAGUCGCAGAGGUAGGUGUCGCACUGCACUAGGCGAACACAAAAAAGUUAGGCUUCGAUUAAAGCAAAGGAGCCAAAAGAGUUCCCCACUAUAAACUCCAGUCCAACCCUCACCUUCUUUUCGUUGUUCCCCAAGCCCAUUUAUUCCUUCCAUAAUUGAUUAAUUUAAUAUAUAACAUCACCUUUUGUGGACGAAUUUACCCCUUUUCCAACA